CUUUACUGUAGCUUCGCAUUGGACUUUGACGGGACUUGUGUAGGAUAGGUGGGAGGCUGUGAGGCGUGGUCGCCAGAUCGCGCGGAGCCAACCUUGAAAUACCACCCUGGUGUCGUUGAGGUUCUAACCUUGGUCCGUGAAUCCGGAUCGGGGACCGUGCAUGGCAGGCAGUUUGACUGGGGCGGUCUCCUCCCAAAGAGUAACGGAGGAGUACGAAGGUCUUCUAAGCACGGUCGGACAUCGUGCUCAUAGUGCAAUGGCAAAAGAAGGCUUGACUGCGAGUCCAACAAGACGAGCAGGUGCGAAAGCAGGUCAUAGUGAUCCGGUGGUUCUGUAUGGAAGGGCCAUCGCUCAACGGAUAAAAGGUA
rnacentral:rRNA from 1 species